CCUGUGCACCGCAGAUCGACAUGCUGUAUCAGGGCUAAAUGUUUCCCUGAUAACUGUUUUUAAUCCAAGGUCUUCGGCAGAGAUACUAAAGGUGGGAAAGGGCAGUGUGGAGUGCGAUUGAGAUCUGUUGGGGCGGUAUGCGAAUUGGAGUGGGUCUAGGAUAUCCGGGACGAUGCUGUUGAUGUGAGCCAUGACCAACCUUUCAAAGCACUUCAUGGCUACCAAUAGUAUCCCAGCAUCCCAGGCACGCUCCUGGGCUCGGUGAAGAACAGAGAGAUGGUGGUGCAUGCGGACAUCCACCUCUAGACCCUGUACCAAAAGCACCGAGCAGCUCACCAGAAUUGCAUGGUGCCCCUACGCAUGAGCUCGACACAAUGGAAACUAUCAUUUUCCAGAGGGAAUGGAAGCCGAAGAGUGGAACAUAAUGUAAAUAAACAUUCAUAGAAAGGUUACGAUCGUAAAGAUGCAGUUCUGCAAGUGUCGAUAAAGAUUUGUUUAGCUUUUUCUAUUUGAGAUUUUAAUCCAUUCUGGAGAAGAAGAAAAAAGAAACCUUUCACAGGUGCAAAUGCUUAGUAAAUCUGUGUCGCUGACCUGUGCACUAAUCCUGUCUCAUCUGUAUGGCUGUCCAAGCCUGCCCAGGGGGGUUGAAUUCAAAGUGAAAUCGCCACAGCCGACAUCAUUGAACACCCGUGAGUAACCUCUCAUUGUGGGUGAUAAGGUGGUGUCGAAGUCACCUGACAAGUAAUUUCCCUAAUCAUUUCACUUGUCGCUGGGAAUGUCGCAACAAGGCGAGUGACCUGGCAGUGUUGUCCCAGCCUGGGUGUUAACUUGGUUGUGUGUUUGUGUGUUUGUGUCAUGUGGGAGAUGAUUCAACAAUGGGAGUUGAAUUGU